rnacentral:rRNA from 2 species
UCCUACGGGGGGCUGCAGUAGGGAAUAUUCCGCAAUGGGCGAAAGCCUGACGGAGCAACGCCGCGUGAGUGAAGAAGAUCUUCGGAUUGUAAAGCUCUGUCAACAGGGACGAUAAUGACGGUACCUGAGAAGGAAGCCACGGCAAACUACGUGCCAGCAGCCGCGGUAAUACGUAGGUGGCAAGCGUUGUCCGGAAUAACUGGGCGUAAAGCGCAUGUAGACGGCAUAGCAAGCCAAGUGUGAAAUUUAGGGGCUUAACCUCUAAACUGCGCUUGGAACUGCUGAGCUUGAGUGCAGGAGAGGCAAGUGGAAUUCCCAGUGUAGCAGUGAAAUGCGUAGAUAUUGGGAGGAACACCAGUGGCGAAGGCGACUUGCUGGACUGCAACUGACGUUGAGAUGCGAAAGCUAGGGGAGCAAACGGGAUUAGAUACCCUGGUAGUCUGG